rfam:Daedalea quercina L-15889 unplaced genomic scaffold DAEQTscaffold_47, whole genome shotgun sequence.
GCCCGCCUAGCUCAAUCGGAUAGAGCGUGAGACUUUUAAGGCUUGGGCUUAUCCAGUCGGUAUUAUCUCAAGGCUGCGGGUUCGACCCCCGCGGUGGGCU